rfam:Camelus ferus unplaced genomic scaffold scaffold659, whole genome shotgun sequence.
GAGGGCAUAGCUCAGUGGUAGAGUGUGUGCUUAGCAGGCAUGAGGUCCUGGGUUUAAUCCCAAGUACCUCCA